AGCGAACGCUGGCGGCAGGCCUAACACAUGCAAGUCGAACGCCGUAGCAAUACGGAGUGGCAGACGGGUGAGUAACACGUGGGGAUCUGCCCGAUGGUACGGAAUAAUUCCGGGAAACUGGGACUAAUACCGUAUGAGCCCGCAAGGGGAAAGAUUUAUCGCCAUCGGAUGAACCCGCGUCAGAUUAGCUAGUUGGCGGGGUAAAGGCCCACCAAGGCGACGAUCUGUAGCUGGUCUGAGAGGAUGAUCAGCCACACUGGGACUGAGACACGGCCCAGACUCCUACGGGAGGCAGCAGUGGGGAAUAUUGGACAAUGGGCGCAAGCCUGAUCCAGCCAGCCGCGUGAGUGACGAAGGCCUUAGGGUUGUAAAGCUCUUUUGGCGGGGACGAUAAUGACGGUACCCGCAGAAUAAGCCCCGGCUAACUUCGUGCCAGCCGCCGCCGUAAGAC
rnacentral:rRNA from 1 species